GACGAACGCUGGCGGCGUGCUUAACACAUGCAAGUCGAACGGAAAGGCCCUGCUUUUGUGGGGUGCUCGAGUGGCGAACGGGUGAGUAACACGUGAGUAACCUGCCCUUGACUUUGGGAUAACUUCAGGAAACUGGGGCUAAUACCGGAUAGGAGCUCCUGCUGCAUGGUGGGGGUUGGAAAGUUUCGGCGGUUGGGGAUGGACUCGCGGCUUAUCAGCUUGUUGGUGGGGUAGUGGCUUACCAAGGCUUUGACGGGUAGCCGGCCUGAGAGGGUGACCGGGCACAUUGGGACUGAGGUACGGCCCAGACUCCUACGGGGGGCAACAGUGGGGAAUAUUGCACAAUGGGCGGAAGCCUGAUGCAGCAACGCCGCGUUCGGGAUGACGGCCUUCGGGUUGUAAACCGCUUUCGCCUGUGACGAAGCGUGAGUGACGGUAAUGGGUAAAGAAGCACCGGCUAACUACGUG
rnacentral:rRNA from 1 species